UACGUAGGGUGCGAGCGUUACUCGGAAUUACUGGGCGUAAAGCGUGCGCAGGCGGGUUUGUAAGCCCGAUGUGAAAUCCCCGGGCUCAACCUGGGAAUGGCAUUUGGGACUGCAAGGCUGGAGUGUGGCAGAGGAGACUGGAAUUCCUGGUGUAGCAGUGAAAUGCGUAGAUAUCAGGAGGAAUACCGAUGGCGAAGGCAGGUCUCUGGGCUAACACUGACGCUCAUGCACGAAAGCGUGGGGAGCAAACAGG
rnacentral:rRNA from 1 species